rnacentral:rRNA from 1 species
AACGAACGCUGGCGGCAUGCCUAACACAUGCAAGUCGAACGGGAUCCUAGCUUGCUAGGUGAGAGUGGCGGACGGGUGAGUAACACGUGGGAAUCUGCCUUUUGGUUCGGGAUAACCGCGGGAAACUGCGGCUAAUACCGAAUGCCCUCGUGAGAGGAAAGAUUUAUCGCCAGAAGAGGAGCCCGCGUCCGAUUAGGUAGUUGGUGGGGUAAAGGCCUACCAAGCCGACGAUCGGUAGCUGGUCUGAGAGGAUGAUCAGCCACACUGGGACUGAGAUACGGCCCAGACUCCUACGGGAGGCAGCAGUGGGGAAUAUUGGGACAAUGGGGGCAACCCUGAUCCAGCAAUGCCGCGUGAGUGAUGAAGGCCUUAGGGUUGUAAAGCUCUUUUGUCCAGGGAAGAUGAUGACUGUACCUGGAGAAUAAGCCCCGGCUAACUUCGUGCCAGCAGCCGCGGUAAU